rnacentral:lncRNA from 1 species
UGACUCUAAAACCUCUCUGUUCCUCGAUUUAUAGAUUACAUCGUGUUUUUCUCUUCCGUGCGAUCAAGAUCUUCAAAGUAAGCAUCUUUCAAAGUAGCGACACAUGAAAUACAGCUGGAGGAUCAGUAACUCCCUGUUAAGCAGCUUUGCUUGCUGUCAUUGUUGACUGCCAGAGGGUGGUGAUCCAUGUCAGUCACUAAAAUGACACCUUGGCAAUACUGCAGUCUGCUUCUGGAGGUUUUGUGUAUGGGACCACUUUUAAGGUUCCUCAAAGAGUCUUAGAAAACCCAGUGAACCCCAUCUCAGGUGAACCCUUUGAUUGUGACUCAUGGUUCCUGACUCGUUCCAAAACUGCUUUCUGGAUUCUGUUGGCCUGUAAUCUUUCCCAGGAAGGAAAUGCAAAAGACAGGUUCUUGUGUUCCAGAGAGAGGCAGUUGCAGUUGGGCAGUUGGGAUUUCAACUUGUGUCCAGAAGCAGGAAGUAUCAUAAAUCUUGUGAAGUGA